rnacentral:rRNA from 1 species
UACAGAGGGUGCGAGCGUUAAUCGGAAUUACUGGGCGUAAAGCGCACGUAGGCGGCUUGGUAUGUCGGGUGUGAAAUCCCCGGGCUCAACCUGGGAACUGCAUCCGAAACUGCCUUGCUAGAGUAUGGGAGAGGGAAGUGGAAUUUCCGGUGUAGCGGUAAAAUGCGUAGAUAUCGGAAGGAACAUCAGUGGCGAAGGCGACUUCCUGGACCAAUACUGACGCUCAGGUGCGAAAGCGUGGGGAGCAAACAGG